rnacentral:rRNA from 1 species
AUUGAACGCUGGCGGCAGGCCUAACACAUGCAAGUCGAACGAGUGGCGGACGGGUGAGUAAUGUCUGGGAAACUGCCUGAUGGAGGGGGAUAACUACUGGAAACGGUAGCUAAUACCGCAUACCAUCAGAUGUGCCCAGAUGGGAUUAGCUAGUAGGUGGGGUAACGGCUCACCUAGGCGACGAUCCCUAGCUGGUCUGAGAGGAUGACCAGCCACACGGGAACUGCGACACGGUCCAGACUCCUACGGGAGGCAGCAGUGGGGAAUAUUGCACAAUGGGCGCAAGCCUGAGUCAGCCAUGCCGCUUGUAUUAAGAAGGCCUUCGGGUUGUAAAGUACUUUCAGCGGGGAGGCGUUACCCGCAGAAGAAGCACCGGCUAACUCCGUGCCAGCAGCCGCGGUAAUUC